UACAGAGGUCCCAAGCGUUGUUCGGAUUCAUUGGGCGUAAAGGGUGCGUAGGCGGCGCGGUAAGUCGGGUGUGAAAUCUCGGAGCUUAACUCCGAAACUGCAUUCGAUACUGCCGUGCUUGAGGACUGGAGAGGAGAUCGAUUGGAACGUUACGGUAGUGAGCGGAUGAAUGCGUAGAUAUCGUAAGGAAGACCAGUGGCGAAGGCGGGUCUCUGGACAGUUCCUGACGCUGAGGCACGAAGGCCAGGGGAGCAAACGGG
rnacentral:rRNA from 1 species